CCUACGGGGGGCGGCAGUGAGGAAUAUUGGACAAUGGAUGGAAAUCUGAUCCAGCCAUGCCGCGUGAAGGAAGAAGGUCCUAUGGAUUGUAAACUUCUUUUGUAUGGGAGCAAUAAGGCCUACGUGUAGGCUGAUGAGAGUACCAUACGAAUAAGCACCGGCUAACUCCGUGCCAGCAGCCCCGGUC
rnacentral:rRNA from 1 species